CGGUCUUGACAUACCGAUGACAGGUCUAGAGAUAGAUUUCCCUUUUAGGGCAUCGGAUACAGGUGGUGCAUGGUUGUCGUCAGCUCGUGUCGUGAGAUGUUCGGGUUAAGUCCCGCAACGAGCGCAACCCCUAUUGUUAGUUGCCAUCAUUAAGUUGGGCACUCUAGCGAGACUGCCAGUAAUAAACUGGAGGAAGGUGGGGAUGACGUCAAAUCAUCAUGCCCCUUAUGACCUGGGCUACACACGUGCUACAAUGGGAAGUACAACGAGUUGCGAGGCGGUGACGCCAAGCUAAUCUCUUAAAGCUUCUCUCAGUUCGGAUUGUAGGCUGCAACUCGCCUACAUGAAGUCGGAAUCGCUAGUAAUCGCGGAUCAGCACGCCGCGGUGAAUACGUUCCCGGGCCUUGUACACACCGCCCGUCACACCACGAGAGUUUGUAACACCCGAAGUCGGUGAGGUAACCGUAAGGAGCCAACCGCCUAAGGUGGGAUAGAUGAUUGGGGUGAAGUCGUAACAAGGUAAGCGUAGAUGA
rnacentral:rRNA from 1 species